rnacentral:rRNA from 1 species
AUUGAACGCUGGCGGCAGGCCUAACACAUGCAAGUCGAACGGAGUGGCGGACGGGUGAGUAAUGUCUUGGAAACUGCCCGAUGUAGGGGGAUAACUACUGGAAACGGUCGCUAAUAUCGCAUACUAUCAGAUGAGCCUACGGGGGAUUAGCUAGUUGGUGGGGUAAAGGCCUACCAAGGCGACGAUCCGUAACUGUUCUGAGAGGAUGAUCAGUCACACUGGAACUGAGACACGGUCCAGACUCCUACGGGAGGAAGCAGUGGGGAAUAUUGGACAAUGGGCGAAAGCCUGAUGCAGCCAUGCCGCGUGUGUGAAGAAGGUCUUCGGAUUGUAAAGCACUUUAAGUUGGGAGGCGUUACCAACAGAAUAAGCACCGGCUAACUUCGUGCCAGCAGCCGCGGUAAUAC